AUGAACGCUGGCGGCGUGCCUAAUACAUGCAAGUCGAGCGAACAGACGAGGAGCUUGCUCCUCUGACGUUAGCGGCGGACGGGUGAGUAACACGUGGAUAACCUACCUAUAAGACUGGGAUAACUUCGGGAAACCGGAGCUAAUACCGGAUAAUAUAUUGAACCGCAUGGUUCAAUAGUGAAAGACGGUUUUGCUGUCACUUAUAGAUGGAUCCGCGCCGCAUUAGCUAGUUGGUAAGGUAACGGCUUACCAAGG
rnacentral:rRNA from 1 species